GACGAACGCUGGCGGCGUGCUUAACACAUGCAAGUCGAACGGAAAGGCCCCUUCGGGGGUACUCGAGUGGCGAACGGGUGAGUAACACGUGAGUAACCUGCCCUUGACUUCGGGAUAACUUCAGGAAACUGGGGCUAAUACCGGAUAGGAAUCCUUGCUGCAUGGUGGGGGUUGGAAAGCUUCGGCGGUUUUGGAUGGACUCGCGGCUUAUCAGCUUGUUGGUGGGGUAGUGGCUUACCAAGGCUUUGACGGGUAGCCGGCCUGAGAGGGCGACCGGCCACAUUGGGACUGAGAGACGGCCCAGACUCCUACGGGAGGAAGCAGUGGGGAAUAUUGCACAAGGGGCGGAAGCCUGAUGCAGCAACGCCGCGUGCGGGAUGACGGCCUUCGGGUUGUAAACCGCUUUCAGCAGGGGCGAAGCUUGUGGUGACGGUACCUGCAGAAGAAGCACCGGCUAACUACGUG
rnacentral:rRNA from 1 species